rnacentral:rRNA from 1 species
GAUGAACGCUGGCGGCGUGCCUAAUACAUGCAAGUCGAGCGAACAGAUAAGGAGCUUGCUCCUUUGACGUUAGCGGCGGACGGGUGAGUAACACGUGGGUAACCUACCUAUAAGACUGGAAUAACUCCGGGAAACCGGGGCUAAUGCCGGAUAACAUUUAGAACCGCAUGGUUCUAAAGUGAAAGAUGGUUUUGCUAUCACUUAUAGAUGGACCCGCGCCGUAUUAGCUAGUUGGUAAGGUAACGGCUUACCAAGGCAACGAUACGUAGCCGACCUGAGAGGGUGAUCGGCCUCACUGGAACGGAGACACGGUCCAGACUCCUACGGGAGGCAGCAGUAGGGAAUCUGACGCAAUGGGCGAAAGCCUGACGGAGCAACGCCGCGUGAGUGAUGAAGGUCUUCGGAUCGUAAAACUCUGUUAUUAGGGAAGAACAAAUGUGUAAGUAACUGUGCACGUCUUGACGGUACCUAAUCAGAAAGCCACGGCUAACUACGUG